rnacentral:rRNA from 1 species
GAAUAUGGGGGGACCAUCCUCCAAGGCUAAAUACUCCUGACUGACCGAUAGUGAACCAGUACCGUGAGGGAAAGGCGAAAAGAACCCCGGCGAGGGGAGUGAAAAAGAACCUGAAACCGUGUACGUACAAGCAGUGGGAGCCCCACCACCAAAGCAUUCUCUGGUGUUGAAGGCCCUGCAAAGCAGCAUCGCGGUGGCGGAGCGUCGUUUGCGACGCCCAACACACAAAACAAGCGGUGAGUGCUUUGGGGUGGGGUGACUGCGUACCUUUUGUAUAAUGGGUCAGCGACUUAUAUUCUGUAGCAAGGUUAACCGAAUAGGGGAGCCGGAGGGAAACCGAGUCUUAAUUGGGCGUUAAGUUGCAGGGUAUAGACCCGAAACCCGGUGAUCUAGCCAUGGGCAGGUUGAAGGUUGGGUAACACUAACUGGAGGACCGAACCGACUAAUGUUGAAAAAUUAGCGGAUGACCUGUGGCUGGGGGUGAAAGGCCAAUCAAAC